rnacentral:rRNA from 1 species
CGCCUCCUGCAACUAGAUUGAGUAUAGGAGGUCCAGCCUGCCCAGUGACUACGGGUUCAACGGCCGCGGUAUUUUGACCGUGCAAAGGUAGCGCAAUCACUUGUCUCUUAAAUAGAGACCUGUAUGAAUGGCUAGACGAGGGCUUAACUGUCUCCCCCUUUCAGUCAGUGAAAUUGAUCUAUCCGUGCAGAAGCGGGUAUAACAAUACAAGACGAGAAGACCCUUUGGAGCUUAAGGUACAAGAUUCAGCCACGUUAAACAACUCCAUAGAAAGCAAGAACUUAGUGGCCAUGAAAUUUUACCUUCGGUUGGGGCGACCACGGAGGAAAAAUAAGCCUCCGAGUGGACUGGGCCAAACCCCUAAAGCCAAGAGAAACAUCUCUAAGCCGCAGAACAUCUGACCAAUGAUGAUCCGGCUGAAAAGCCGAUCAACGAACCAAGUUACCCUAGGGAUAACAGCGCAAUCCUCUCCCAGAGCCCAUAUCGACGAGGGGGUUUACGACCUCGAUGUUGGAUCAGGACAUCCUAAUGGUGCAGCCGCUAUUAAGGGUUCGUUUGUUCAACGAUUAAAGUCCU